GUGUUUCCGUGCUUGCAUGUGAAGGAGCAACGCAACAAGGGACGCAAAUCACGAGACGCGCAGUGCUGCAACAUACAGAGAAAAGGAAACUCACCCACCCGCUCGCCUGCUUACUCGCACAGGCACUCGACGGCGCUCCACCAUCGACGUUAGCUACACAAGGGCACCCACACCCACACACACGCGGACAUACAACAAGUAGGCAACAUGGGCAUCAUAUUAAACAUGAGCGUGCAUGGUCUCAUGAUCAUCCCGCUGGCCGCCAUGGUGAAGGGGCACAACAUCUCGCUGAGAAGACUGGCGAAACUGAGCAUUGUGAUGGCCGCGGUGCAGCUAGCGCAGUCCACCAUCACCAUGGCGGUGCCGCCUGACGUGGUGGUGGCGCAGGUUUGCGUGCAGGGCGCGCUGCUGCCGCUGGUGACGGUCGCGUUUUGUUUCUUCAUCUUGAACGACGCCAAGGCGGCUAAGGUAAUGCACCUGCACGACUGCGGGGACGGCGAUACAGGUGCGGCGGUGGCGACGAUGUGGUGCCUGUGCUACACCGUGCUCUUCCGCUGGUUCCCAUGGUACCACUCGAUGUCUAGUCGCGGCUUCGAGGCGGCCAAUUUGGCGUGUGGCGCCGAGGCAUACCUUACCCUUAUCACGAUGCUGGCCAUGUGCCGCAGCUUCACUACCGGGCAGUCUGUGGCCGCGACGGCUGCGUGGGGGCUGCACGCCAUCGGUGCCGUUGUUGGCGCCGCGUCAGGCAUGCCGAUGGCGGGUACGGUCUUGAUGACUGCCUUGAUGACGGCGGCGUCGGCCACCGUCUUCCGUGCCCCGGCGGAGGGGAGGGGGAACAAGGAAGAUUAGCGGGCAAGGCGCUCAGCCAACGAUGGCAGAUGGCUACAUCGUUGAUUGUCGUGUUGCUGGUGCGCGUGCGCUUCCUUAUGAUUAUCGGUUUCCGAAGGCGAGGUUGUGUGGCUGCUGUCCUCGCUUCCUCCCACCUCUUUUCGCUGUGGCUGUUCUGCCUGCCAAGCGAGACAAGCGCAUGCACUGAAGUGCACCCCGAAGCGGCGUCGCCCUCCACCAUCUUUUCCCCCUCGAACUGGAGACGUGUGCACCGGUGCCACACCCCACUCAG
rnacentral:misc_RNA from 1 species